UUUGAGGUGGGCCCCAUGUAAAAACGGUAAAAAAAAAAUCAAAUUUUUUCAAACGCGCUUGCCGACCGUGUCAAACCCUUGGAAAUAAUUUUCUUCUCCCCUCUCUUCCUGACACGGGCCGUGUCAGUUGACACGGGCACCUGAGUCAGGUCCUUGUUUUCCUUUUUCUUUCAUUUUUCGUUUCAAGCUUCGUAACCGGGCUUCUGCUUCCGAUUUUCC
rnacentral:lncRNA from 1 species